rnacentral:rRNA from 1 species
GACAGAGGUGCCGAGCGUUAGGCGGAAUCACUGGGCUUAAAGCGUGUGUAGGCGGGUCCGUUAAUACCUUGUGAAAUCCCAUGGCUCAACCAUGGAACUGCUUGGUAUACUGCGGAUCUUGAGCCACCUAGGGGCAAGUGGAACAAACGGUGGAGCGGUGAAAUGCGUAGAUAUCGUUUGGAACGCCAAUGGUGAAAACAACUUGCUGGGGGUGUGCUGACGCUGAGACACGAAAGCCAGGGGAGCAAACGGG